UUACGGCCAUAUCAUGUUGAAACUGCGGUUCUAGUACGAUCACCGACGUUAAGCAACGUCGAGCCUGGUCAGUACCUAGAUGGGUGAACGCUUGGGAUUUGUAAG